rnacentral:rRNA from 1 species
CCUACGGGUGGCUGCAGUGAGGAAUAUUGGUCAAUGGGCGCGAGCCUGAACCAGCCAAGCCGCGUGAGGGAAGACGGUUCUAUGGAUUGUAAACCUCUUUUGUCGGGGAGCAAAAGACGCCACGCGUGGCGUUCCGAGAGUACCCGACGAAAAAGCAUCGGCUAACUCCGUGCGAGCAGCCGCGGUAAUACGAAGGAUGCGGGCGUUAACCGGAUGUAUGGGGUUUAAAGGGUGCGUAGGGGGAAUGCCAAGUCAGCGGUAAAAUCGCGGGGCUAAACCUCGCACCGCCGUUGAAACUGGGGUUCUAGAGUGGACGAGAGGUAUGCGGAAUGCGUGGUGUAGCGGUGAAAUGCGUAGAUAUCA